GAGGAAAGUCCGGGCUCCAUAGAGCAAAGUGCCAGGUAAUGCCUGGGAAACGUAAGUUUACGGAAAGUGCCACAGAAAAUAUACCGCCUGGCUCGUCCAGGUAAGGGUGAAAUGGCGAGGUAAAAGCUCACCGCUCCAAGGGCAACUGAGGAGGCAGGGCAAACCCCACACGGUGCAAGACAGAACAGAAGGAACGGGCCGCCUGCCCGGUUCCGGCAGCAAUGCCGGUAUGACUUCGGGUAAUAGUCGCACCCGGUUUACCGGGAGCUUCACUUUUUGUGGGGCUAGAUAAAUGACCAUUGAUCCAGAGGCGUCCAGGCGCUUCCGGGGGACAAAAUCCGGCUUACGAAGACUCGCAUUCC
rnacentral:RNase_P_RNA from 1 species